GAAGUCCAUUCAUUCCUCAGUCUUCAUGUCUAAUGCAUGGUGUAGGGAUAGCUGUGCUCUGGAAUCAGGGUGAUGGAAACAUCUUCCAGAGCAAGCAGCUCCUGGGAUGCUGGGGAAGAGGGUUCCUUCAGAAACAUUCCUGAUAUGCUGUGUCAUGAUUAUUGCUGAUGUUUCAAGCUUGGAAGUCAUCACUUCUAUUCACAUGACAAGAAGGAACCUGCUGAAG
rnacentral:lncRNA from 1 species